GGCUUUUCGACAAAUGUGAGGAAAAGACUGGCCUGCCCGGUGAGACGGUUUAAACGGUCGCAGCUAUCACUGUGCUAAGGUAGCGUAAUAGGUCGUCCUUUAAUUGGGGAAAAGUAUGAAUGGUCGGAUGAUGGAGAGGCUUUAUUAGGGAUAAUUUCUGAAUUUUACUUUUAAGGUGCAAAGGCUUAGAUGAGUUUAUUAGACGAGAAGACCCUGUUGAGCUUGGUAUACUAAGGUCAUGUUUGGGCUUAGGGUAUGUUUUUUCGGGGCCGAAAGGAAGGGAUGUAAUACCUUCUUUAUAUAUAUAGAUCCAGUAUGGCUGAUAAUAAGAAGAUAGUUACCACAGGGAUAACAGCGCAAUUUUUUUGUCAAGGUCAUAUUUGAGAAGGAGAUUGCGACCUCGAUGUUGAAUCAAAAUUCCUAUCAGGUGUAGCAGCUUGGUAAGUAGGACUGUUCGUCCUUUGAAAUUUUACG
rnacentral:rRNA from 1 species